UAGGGAAUCUUCCGCAAUGGGCGAAAGCCUGACGGAGCAACGCCGCGUGAAUGAUGAAGGUCUUCGGAUCGUAAAACUCUGUUAUUAGGGAAGAACAAAUGUGUAAGUAACUAUGCACGUCUUGACGGUACCUAAUCAGAAAGCCACGGCUAACUACGUGCCAGCAGCCGCGGUAAUACGUAGGUGGCAAGCGUUAUCCGGAAUUAUUGGGCGUAAAGCGCGCGUAGGCGGUUUUUUAAGUCUGAUGUGAAAGCCCACGGCUCAACCGUGGAGGGUCAUUGGAAACUGGAAAACUUGAGUGCAGAAGAGGAAAGUGGAAUUCCAUGUGUAGCGGUGAAAUGCGCAGAGAUAUGGAGGAACACCAGUGGCGAAGGCGACUUUCUGGUCUGUAACUGACGCUGAUGUGCGAAAGCGUGGGGAUCAAACAGG
rnacentral:rRNA from 1 species